rnacentral:rRNA from 1 species
CCUGGUUGAUCCUGCCAGUAGCAUAUGCUUGUCUCAAAGAUUAAGCCAUGCACGUGUAAGUACACACGGCCGGUACAGUGAAACUGCGAAUGGCUCAUUAAAUCAGUUAUGGUUCUUUGAUCGCUCCAUCUGUUACUUGGAUAACUGUGGUAAUUCUAGAGCUAAUACAUGCCGACGAGCGCUGACCUCCCGGGAUGCGUGCAUUUAUCAGACCAAGACCAAUCCGGGCUCGCCCGGCCGCUUUGGUGACUCUAGAUAACCUCGGGCCGAUCGCACGUCCCGUGACGGACGAUGCAUUCGGAUGUCUGCCCUAUCAACUUUCGAUGGUACUUCUGUGCUACCAUGGUGACCACGGGUAACGGGAAUUAGGGUUCGAUUCCGGAGAGGGAGCCUGAGAAACGGCUACCACAUCCAAGGAAGGCAGCAGGCGUGCAAAUUACCCACUCCUGACUCGGGGAGGUAGUGACGAAAAAUAACAAUACAGGACUCUUUCGAGGCCCUGUAAUUGGAAUGAGUACACUUUAAAUCCUUUAACGAGGAUCCAUUAGAGGGCAAGUCUGGUGCCAGCAGCCGCGGUAAUUCCAGCUCCAAUAGCGUAUAUUAAAGAAUGUGUUGAACCCCAGAUUUUUUAACCAGAAGAUACAAAGGUGCCAAGCAAACCAUCUGGAUUUCACAAAUGGACUGAUUGAAGUACCUGUCCAUAUGCCCUCAAUAAAAGAAAACAAUUUGGAAUGCCCAUAACCAACAUUUAUAGACUAAGUAAUGUAUAAACUGUCACACAACAGCUUAGCUGCAUCUGAGUAUCAGGUGUCGGCCUUACCUUGCUCCGCUACGAUAGGCAAGAUGUGAAGAGGUACGGCCGACCCCGAUCAGCAGGCACCCUGCCUCCUGAUUGAAGGAGCACCCAGAACACAGGGUGACCCUGGGGAAUCAUCCACAAUCAGGAAAACCCCAAUUAAGGGAAGAGACCUUCCUAGAUGGUAAUGUAAAUAAAGAUAUUCACAUAUAUGGCGAGGGCAACGGCUGUCCUCCAAUCUGGAAUACUGGCAGGAAGGCAGGUA